GAAAACACCAAUGUGCGACAAAGCACUGACUGGAGUAAGACCGAAUCACUUGUGUGUACGCUAUGUCUAUAUUCAAACCAAUAAAACAGAAAAUUCAGAACGGUUCAAAAAAAUUGGUGAAAGAAAUUGAAAGACUAAAAAUCUAUUGUACUGGCGGAUAUAAGAAAAUUCAACCAAGAGUGUUUGGUAGAGCAGUUUUGACAAUGGCCCAUCCAUCUAUUAUUGAAUCGGAAAACGAAAAUGUUAUAAGGGAUCAAUUUCAGCCCAGUUUGGGUAGUCUUAAAAAGCGUCAAGGGAUGAACUCUAGCAAUUAUCAUUCGACUGAUGUGAAACCGCAAAUAGUGGAAUUAGC